AGUGAACGCUGGCGGCGUGCUUAACACAUGCAAGUCGAACGAGAACGGAUUAUAGCUUGCUAUAAUUGUCAGCUAAGUGGCGCACGGGUGAGUAAUGUAUAGGUAAUAUGCCUCUUACUAAGGGAUAACAAAUGGAAACGUUUGCUAAUACCUUAUACUCCUUAUUAACAGAAGUUAAUAAGGGAAAGAUUUAUUGGUAAGAGAUUAGCCUGUAUUGUAUCAGUUAGUUGGUGGGGUAAUGGCUUACCAAGACUAUGACACAUAACUGGUUUGAGAGGAUGAUCAGUCACACUGGAACUGAGACACGGUCCAGACUCCUACGGGAGGCAGCAGUGGGGAAUAUUGCACAAUGGACGAAAGUCUGAUGCAGCAACGCCGCGUGGAGGAUGACACAUUUCGGUGCGUAAACUCCUUUUAUAUGAGAAGAUAAUGACGGUAUUAUAUGAAUAAGCACCGGCUAACUCCGUNCCAGCAGCCGC
rnacentral:rRNA from 1 species